rnacentral:lncRNA from 1 species
GGAGAUGGAAGAUCAGUUCCAAUUUUUACUUUAAAAAUUAUCAAACUUGUAUUUAAUUUUCAUAUUAUUAUUCUUAAUGAUUAUCAUUUUUAUCCUAGUCUCUUAUUGAAUGUAAUUUCUAUAGGCCUUUUGGCUGAAAAAAAUUAUGAGAUUUCGAUAAAAAAAAUUUUGUGAUAUCAUUUUGAAUAGUGUUACUGUAAUGCAUGGAUAAUUGAAUAAUAGAAUUUAUAUUGUAUCAUGGCCUAGUGUAAUGUAUACAUCGAAAAAUACCCUAGGAUAGAUGAUGUCUUAGAUGCCUACCUUUGGCAUUGUAGGUUAGGUCAUAUUAACAAGAAUAAGAUGAACAGGAUAAAAUGAGAGGGGAUCCUCAAAGAUAAUGAUUAUGAAUUAUUGCUAACCUAUGAGUCUUAUCUACUUGAA